UACGGAGGGUGCAAGCGUUGUUCGGAAUCACUGGGCGUAAAGGGCGCGCAGGCGGUUCUACAAGUCAGAUGUGAAAGCCCACGGCUCAACCGUGGAAGUGCAUUUGAAACUGUAAGACUUGGGUAUCAGAGGGGAAGGUGGAAUUCCCGGUGUAGAGGUGAAAUUCGUAGAUAUCGGGAGGAAUACCGGUGGCGAAGGCGACUUUCUGGCUGAAUACUGACGCUGAGGCGCGAAAGCGUGGGGAGCAAACAGGAUUAGAAACCCUAGUAGUCC
rnacentral:rRNA from 1 species